UCUAUACAUGACUCUGCGCAUAUCAAUAAGCGGAGGAAAAGAAACUAACAAGGAUUCCCCUAGUAACGGCGAGUGAAGCGGGAAGAGCUCAAAUUUGAAAUCUUAAAGGUUUUCUCCUUGACGAAUUGUAGUUUAAAGAAGUGUUUUCUGCUGAAGUUUUGGUAAAAGUUCUUUGGAAUAGGACAUCAUAGAGGGUGAGAAUCCCGUAUUUGACCAUUACUUUUCAGCUUUGUGAUACACUUUCAAAGAGUCGGAUUGUUUGGGAAUGCAGUCCAAAAUGGGUGGUAAAUUUCAUCUAAAGCUAAAUAUUGGCGAGAGACCGAUAGCGAACAAGUACCGUGAGGGAAAGAUGAAAAGAACUUUGAAAAGAGAGUUAAACAGUACGUGAAAUUGUCAAAAGGGAAGCGUUUGACACCAGUGUUGUCUUUUCUGAAAAUCAAUUAAAGAACUGUUUAUGCUAAGUUGUUUAGACUUUAUCAGCUAUCUGCUUAGUUUUGAGCUUUUCUUUAAUGCACUUUUCAGUUAACAAGUCAACAUCAAUUUCUUUUGCUGUAAAAGAGCUUGAGGAAGGUGGCUUGAGAUUCGUCCUUAAGUGUUUAUAGCCUCUUGCCUAUGCAGUCGGAGAGAUUGAGGUCUGCAGCGUAGAUCCUUCGGGGCUAAAUGCAUUUGUGCUAAGUUAUAGCAUUUUAUAGACAACUUGUUGACUAUGAUUUGUCUUGUAGCUUACUCGCUUAUGUUAUUUUACCUACGCUUAGGAUGUUGACAGCAGUAUAGACUGU
rnacentral:rRNA from 1 species